GACGAACGCUGGCGGCAUGCCUAAUACAUGCAAGUCGAGCGAACAGAUGAAGUGCUUGCACUUCUGACGUUAGCGGCGAACAGGUGAGUAACACGUAAGGAAUCUACCUAUAAGCAGGGGAUAACAUUCGGAAACGGGUGCUAAUACCGCAUAAUAUCUUCUUCCGCAUGGAAGAAGAUUGAAAGACGGCUCUGCUGUCACUUAUAGAUGACCUUGCGGUGCAUUAGUUAGUUGGUGGGGUAAUGGCCUACCAAGACGAUGAUGCAUAGCCGACCUGAGAGGGUGAUCGGCCACAUUGGGACUGAGACACGGCCCAAACUCCUACGGGAGGCAGCAGUAGGGAAUCUUCCGCAAUGGGCGAAAGCCUGACGGAGCAAUGCCGCGUGAGUGAAGAAGGCCUUCGGGUCGUAAAACUCUGUUAUAAGAGAAGAACAAAUUGUAGAGUAACUGCUACAGUCUUGACGGUAUCUUAUCAGAAAGCCACGGCUAACUACGUGCCAGCCGCCGCAGUAA
rnacentral:rRNA from 1 species